UGGGGAAUAUUGCACAAUGGGGGAAACCCUGAUGCAGCGACGCCGCGUGAAGGAAGAAGUAUCUCGGUAUGUAAACUUCUAUCAGCAGGGAAGAAAAUGACGGUACCUGACUAAGAAGCCCCGGCUAACUACGUGCCAGCAGCCGCGGUAAUACGUAGGGGGCAAGCGUUAUCCGGAUUUACUGGGUGUAAAGGGAGCGUAGACGGUGUUGCAAGUCUGAUGUGAAAGGCGGGGGCUCAACCCCUGGACUGCAUUGGAAACUGUGAUACUCGAGUGCCGGAGAGGUAAGCGGAAUUCCUAGUGUAGCGGUGAAAUGCGUAGAUAUUAGGAGGAACACCAGUGGCGAAGGCGGCUUACUGGACGGUAACUGACGUUGAGGCUCGAAAGCGUGGGGAGCAAACAGGAUUAGAUACCC
rnacentral:rRNA from 1 species